rnacentral:rRNA from 1 species
AACGAACGCUGGCGGCAGGCUUAGCACAUGCAAGUCGAGCGCCCCGCAAGGGGAGCGGCAGACGGGUGAGUAACGCGUGGGAAUCUACCCAUCUCUACGGAAUAACGCAUGGAAACGUGUGCUAAUACCGUAUACGUCCUUCGGGAGAAAGAUUUAUAGGAGAUGGAUGAGCCCGCGUUGGAUUAGCUAGUUGGUGGGGUAAAGGCCUACCAAGGCGACGAUCCAUAGCUGGUCUGAGAGGAUGAUCAGCCACACUGGGACUGGGACACGGCCCAGACUCCUACGGGAGGCAGCAGUGGGGAAUAUUGGACAAUGGGCGCAAGCCUGAUCCAGCCAUGCCGCGUGAGUGAUGAAGGCCUUAGGGUUGUAAAGCUCUUUCACCGGUGAAGAUAAUGACGGUAACCGGAGAAGAAGCCCCGGCUAACUUCGUGCCAGCAGCCGCGGUAAAAC